rnacentral:rRNA from 1 species
AGAGUUUGAUCCUGGCUCAGGAUGAACGCUGGCGGCGUGCUUAACACAUGCAAGUCGAACGAGCCUUCGGGCUAGUGGCGGACGGGUGAGUAACGCGUGAGAAUCUGCCCUCAGGAGGGGGAUAACGGCUGGAAACGGCCGCUAAUACCCCAUAUGCCGCGAGGUGAAACGAGUUUUCGCCUGAGGAUGAGCUCGCGUCUGAUUAGCUAGUUGGUGGGGUAAGAGCCUACCAAGGCAUCGAUCAGUAGCUGGUCUGAGAGGAUGAUCAGCCACACUGGGACUGAGACACGGCCCAGACUCCUACGGGAGGCAGCAGUGGGGAAUUUUCCGCAAUGGGCGCAAGCCUGACGGAGCAACGCCGCGUGAGGGAUGAAGGCCUCUGGGCUGUAAACCUCUUUUCUCAAGGAAGAAGAACUGACGGUACUUGAGGAAUAAGCCACGGCUAAUUCCGUGCCAGCAGCCGCGGUAAUACGGGAGUGGCAAGCGUUAUCCGGAAUUAUUGGGCGUAAAGCGUCCGCAGGCGGUCUUGAAAGUCUGUUGUUAAAGCGUGGAGCUCAACUCCAUUUCAGCAAUGGAAACUAGAAGACUAGAGUGUGGUAGGGGCAGAGGGAAUUCCCGGUGUAGCGGUGAAAUGCGUAGAUAUCGGGAAGAACACCAGUGGCGAAGGCGCUCUGCUGGGCCAUAACUGACGCUCAUGGACGAAAGCCAGGGGAGCGAAAGGGAUUAGAUACCCCUGUAGUCCUGGCCGUAAACGAUGAACACUAGGUGUCGGGGGAAUCGACCCCCUCGGUGUCGUAGCUAACGCGUUAAGUGUUCCGCCUGGGGAGUACGCACGCAAGUGUGAAACUCAAAGGAAUUGACGGGGGCCCGCACAAGCGGUGGAGUAUGUGGUUUAAUUCGAUGCAACGCGAAGAACCUUACCAGGGUUUGACAUCCUGCGAAUCUUUUGGAAACAGAAGAGUGCCUUCGGGAGCGCAGAGACAGGUGGUGCAUGGCUGUCGUCAGCUCGUGUCGUGAGAUGUUGGGUUAAGUCCCGCAACGAGCGCAACCCACGUCUUUAGUUGCCAGCAUUAAGUUGGGCACUCUAGAGAGACCGCCGGUGAUAAACCGGAGGAAGGUGUGGAUGACGUCAAGUCAUCAUGCCCCUUACAUCCUGGGCUACACACGUACUACAAUGCUACGGACAAAGGGCAGCAAACUCGCGAGAGCUAGCAAAUCCCAUAAACCGUGGCUCAGUUCAGAUCGUAGGCUGCAACUCGCCUACGUGAAGGAGGAAUCGCUAGUAAUCGCAGGUCAGCAUACUGCGGUGAAUACGUUCCCGGGCCUUGUACACACCGCCCGUCACACCAUGGAAGUUGGCCAUGCCCGAAGUCGUUACUCCAACCCUUGUGGAGGAGGACGCCGAAGGUGGGGCUGAUGACUGGGGUGAAGUCGUAACAAGGUA